rnacentral:rRNA from 1 species
GUGCACCAGGCGCGAAACCUCCGCAAUACACGAAAGUGUGACGGGCCAUCCCGAGUGCCGUCCGCUGAGGACGGCUUUCCCCAGUGUACAUAGCUGGGGAAUAAGGAGAGGGCAAGCCUGGUGUCAGCCGCCGCGGUAAUACCAGCUUUCCGAGUGGUGGGGACGCUUAUUGGGCCUAAAGCAUCCGUAGCCGGCUAGGCAAGUCCUCCGUUAAAUCCAACGAUUCAAUCGUUGGGCUGCGGGGGAUACUGUCCAGCUUGGGGGCGGGAGAGGCCGACGGUAUUCCCGGGGUAGGGGUGAAAUCCUAUAAUCCCGGGAGGACCACCAGUGGCGAAGGCUGUCGGCUAGAACGCGCCCGACGGUGAGGGAUGAAAGCUGGGGGAGCGAACCGGAUUAGAUACCCGGGUAGU